rnacentral:lncRNA from 1 species
UGUGGCUAAACUUAAAUUUAAGUUAAUUAAGAUUAAAAGCUCAGUUUCUCAGUCACAUUAGUCAUUCAAGUGUUCAGACAGCCACUGGCACAUGGUGGUGCUCAAUAAAUAGCUGGCAAGAGAGUCACUAAAGAACGAGGAACAGAGAAAAUGGCACAGGCGUGGGGAGUAAAAAUGAUGCAUCUGAUCGCGCUUGAGGUGCCUGUGGGAUGCCUGGUCUCAGGCUUAGAAAGGUCUGAGCUGACCUCACACCGUGGCUCAUGUCUGUAAUCCCAGCACUUUGGGAGACUGAGGCAGGCAGAUCACUUGAGGUCAGGAGCUCGAGACCAGCCUGGCCGACAUAGUGAAACCUUGUCUCUACCAAAAAUACAAAAAAAAAAAAAAAAAAACGGGGCACGGUGGCUCAUGCCUGUAAUCCCUGCACUUUGGGAGGCCAAUGUGG